AGUGAACGCUGGCGGUAGGCCUAACACAUGCAAGUCGAACGGCAGCACAGUAAGAGCUUGCUCUUACGGGUGGCGAGUGGCGGACGGGUGAGGAAUACAUCGGAAUCUACUUUUUCGUGGGGGAUAACGUAGGGAAACUUACGCUAAUACCGCAUACGACCUACGGGUGAAAGCAGGGGAUCUUCGGACCUUGCGCGAUUGAAUGAGCCGAUUUCGGCUUAGCUAGUUGGCGGGGUAAAGGGCCACCAAGGCGACGGUCCGUAGCUGGUCUGAGAGGAUGGUCAGCCACACCGGGACCGGGACACGGUCCAGGCCGCUACGGGAGGGAGCCGUGGGGGAUAUUGGCCCAUGGGCGCAAGGCUGAUCCAGCCAUACCGCGUGGGUGAAGAAAGCCCUCGGGUUGGAAAGCCCCUUUGUUGGGAAAGAAAAGCAGCUGGUUGAUACCCCGCUGUUCUUGCGGUUACCAAAGAAUAAGCCCCGGCUUACUUCCUGC
rnacentral:rRNA from 1 species